AGCGUUGUCCGGAAUUAUUGGGCGUAAAGAGCUCGUAGGCGGUCUGUCGCGUCCGUUGUGAAAACUCGAGGCUCAACCUCGGGCUUGCAGUGGAUACGGGCAGACUAGAGUGCGGUAGGGGAGACUGGAAUUCCUGGUGUAGCGGUGGAAUGCGCAGAUAUCAGGAGGAACACCGAUGGCGAAGGCAGGUCUCUGGGCCGCAACUGACGCUGAGGAGCGAAAGCAUGGGGAGCGAACAGG
rnacentral:rRNA from 1 species